rnacentral:rRNA from 1 species
GACGAACGCUGGCGGCGUGCCUAACACAUGCAAGUCGAACGGACGAUGGAGAGCUUGCUCUCCAAAGUUAGUGGCGAACGGGUGAGUAACGCGUGAGCAACCUGCCUUUCAGAGGGGGACAACAGUUGGAAACGACUGCUAAUACCGCAUAACAUGAUCUGGCCGCAUGACCGGAUCAUCAAAGAUUUAUCGCUGAAAGAUGGGCUCGCGUAUGAUUAGCUAGUUGGUGGGGUAACGGCCCACCAAGGCGACGAUCAGUAGCCGGACUGAGAGGUUGAACGGCCACAUUGGGACUGAGAUACGGCCCAGACUCCUACGAGAGGCAGCAGUGGGGAAUAUUGGGCAAUGGGGGCAACCCUGACUCAGCAACGCCGCAUGAAGGAAGAAGGCUUUCGGGUUGUAAACUUCUUUUACCAGGGACGAAGACGUGACGGUACCUGGAGAAAAAGCCACGGCUAACUACGUGCCAGCCGCCGCAGUAACAC